rnacentral:rRNA from 1 species
UGCCAGCAGCCGCGGUAAGACGGAGGGUGCAAGCGUUAAUCGGAAUUACUGGGCGUAAAGCGCGCGUAGGCGGCACUACAGGACAGAUGUGAGAUCCCCGGGCUCAACCUGGGAACUGCAUUUGUGACUGUAGAGCUAGAGUGUGUCAGAGGGGGGUGGAAUUCCACGUGUAGCAGUGAAAUGCGUAGAGAUGUGGAGGAACACCGAUGGCGAAGGCAGCCCCCUGGGAUAACACUGACGCUCAGGCACGAAAGCGUGGGGAGCAAACAGGAUUAGAUA